rnacentral:rRNA from 1 species
AUUGAACGCUGGCGGCAUGCCUUACACAUGCAAGUCGAACGGCAGCACGGGAGCAAUCCUGGUGGCGAGUGGCGAACGGGUGAGUAAUAUAUCGGAACGUGCCCAGUCGUGGGGAUAACGUAGCGAAAGCUACGCUAAUACCGCAUACGAUCUAUGGAUGAAAGCGGGGGAUCGCAAGACCUCGCGCGAUUGGAGCGGCCGAUAUCAGAUUAGGUAGUUGGUGAGGUAAAGGCUCGCCAAGCCGACGAUCUGUAGCUGGUCUGAGAGGACGACCAGCCACACUGGGACUGAGACACGGCCCAGACUCCUACGGAGGCAGCAGUGGGGAAUUUUUGGACAAUGGGCGCAAGCCCUGAUCCAGCAAUGCCGCGUGCAGGAUGAAGGCCUCGGUGUAACGUGCUUUGUUACGGUAACGAAACCGGUAGGA